CGUCGUUUGCGACGCCCAACACACAAAACAAGCGGUGAGUGCUUUGGGGUGGGGUGACUGCGUACCUUUUGUAUAAUGGGUCAGCGACUUAUAUUCUGUAGCAAGGUUAACCGAAUAGGGGAGCCGGAGGGAAACCGAGUCUUAAUUGGGCGUUAAGUUGCAGGGUAUAGACCCGAAACCCGGUGAUCUAGCCAUGGGCAGGUUGAAGGUUGGGUAACACUAACUGGAGGACCGAACCGACUAAUGUUGAAAAAUUAGCGGAUGACCUGUGGCUGGGGGUGAAAGGCCAAUCAAACCGGGAGAUAGCUGGUUCUCCCCGAAAGCUAUUUAGGUAGCGCCUCGUGAAUUCAUCUCCGGGGGUAGAGCACUGUUUCGGCUAGGGGGCCAUCCCGGCUUACCAACCCGAUGCAAACUGCGAAUACCGGAGAAUGUUAUCACGGGAGACACACGGCGGGUGCUAACGUCCGUCGUGAAGAGGGAAACAACCCAGACCGCCAGCUAAGGUCCCAAAGUCAUGGUUAAGUGGGAAACGAUGUGGGAAGGCCCAGACAGCCAGGAUGUUGGCUUAGAAGCAGCCAUCAUUUAAAGAAAGCGUAAUAGCUCACUGGUCGAGUCGGCCUGCGCGGAAGAUGUAACGGGGCUAAACCAUGCACCGAAGCUGCGGCAGCGACACUGUGUGUUGUUGGGUAGGGGAGCGUUCUGUAAGCCUGUGAAGGUGUGUCGUGAGGCAUGCUGGAGGUAUCAGAAGUGCGAAUGCUGACAUAAGUAACGAUAAAGCGGGUGAAAAGCCCGCUCGCCGGAAGACCAAGGGUUCCUGUCCAACGUUAAUCGGGGCAGGGUGAGUCGACCCCUAAGGCGAGGCCGAAAGGCGUAGUCGAUGGGAAACGGGUUAAUAUUCCCGUACUUGGUGUUACUGCGAAGGGGGGACGGAGAAGGCUAUGUUGGCCGGGCGACGGUUGUCCCGGUUUAAGCGUGUAGGUGUGUGUUCCAGGUAAAUCCGGUUCACUUUAACACUGAGGCGUGAUGACGAGGCACUACGGUGCUGAAGCAACAAAUGCCCUGCUUCCAGGAAAAGCCUCUAAGCAUCAGGUAACAUCAAAUCGUACCCCAAACCGACACAGGUGGUCAGGUAGAGAAUACCAAGGCGCUUGAGAGAACUCGGGUGAAGGAACUAGGCAAAAUGGUGCCGUAACUUCGGGAGAAGGCACGCUGACACGUAGGUGAAGUGAUUUACUCAUGGAGCUGAAGUCAGUCGAAGAUACCAGCUGGCUGCAACUGUUUAUUAAAAACACAGCACUGUGCAAACACGAAAGUGGACGUAUACGGUGUGACGCCUGCCCGGUGCCGGAAGGUUAAUUGAUGGGGUCAGCGCAAGCGAAGCUCCUGAUCGAAGCCCCGGUAAACGGCGGCCGUAACUAUAACGGUCCUAAGGUAGCGAAAUUCCUUGUCGGGUAAGUUCCGACCUGCACGAAUGGCGUAAUGAUGGCCAGGCUGUCUCCACCCGAGACUCAGUGAAAUUGAACUCGCUGUGAAGAUGCAGUGUACCCGCGGCAAGACGGAAAGACCCCGUGAACCUUUACUAUAGCUUGACACUGAACAUUGAGCCUUGAUGUGUAGGAUAGGUGGGAGGCUUUGAAGUGUGGACGCCAGUCUGCAUGGAGCCGACCUUGAAAUACCACCCUUUAAUGUUUGAUGUUCUAACGUGGACCCGUUACCCGGGUUGCGGACAGUGUCUGGUGGGUAGUUUGACUGGGGCGGUCUCCUCCUAAAGAGUAACGGAGGAGCACGAAGGUUGGCUAAUCCUGGUCGGACAUCAGGAGGUUAGUGCAAUGGCAUAAGCCAGCUUGACUGCGAGCGUGACGGCGCGAGCAGGUGCGAAAGCAGGUCAUAGUGAUCCGGUGGUUCUGAAUGGAAGGGCCAUCGCUCAACGGAUAAAAGGUACUCCGGGGAUAACAGGCUGAUACCGCCCAAGAGUUCAUAUCGACGGCGGUGUUUGGCACCUCGAUGUCGGCUCAUCACAUCCUGGGGCUGAAGUAGGUCCCAAGGGUAUGGCUGUUCGCCAUUUAAAGUGGUACGCGAGCUGGGUUUAGAACGUCGUGAGACAGUUCGGUCCCUAUCUGCCGUGGGCGCUGGAGAACUGAGGGGGGCUGCUCCUAGUACGAGAGGACCGGAGUGGACGCAUCACUGGUGUUCGGGUUGUCAUGCCAAUGGCACUGCCCGGUAGCUAAAUGCGGAAGAGAUAAGUGCUGAAAGCAUCUAAGCACGAAACUUGCCCCGA
rnacentral:rRNA from 1 species